rnacentral:rRNA from 1 species
UACGUAGGUGGCAAGCGUUGUCCGGAAUUACUGGGUGUAAAGGGCGUGUAGGCGGGGAGACAAGUCAGAUGUGAAAUACCGUGGCUUAACUGCGGGGGUGCAUCUGAAACUGUUUCUCUUGAGUGUCGGAGAGGAAAGUGGAAUUCCCAGUGUAGCGGUGAAAUGCGUAGAGAUUGGGAGGAACACCAGUGGCGAAGGCGGCUGUCUGGCUGAGAACUGACGCUGAUGCGCGAAAGCGUGGGGAGCAAACAGGAUUAGAUA